rnacentral:rRNA from 1 species
UACGUAGGGUGCGAGCGUUAAUCGGAAUUACUGGGCGUAAAGCGUGCGCAGGCGGUUUUGUAAGCUAGAUGUGAAAUCCCCGGGCUUAACCUGGGAAUGGCAUUUGGGACUGCAAGGCUGGAGUGCGGCAGAGGGGGGUAGAAUUCCACGUGUAGCAGUGAAAUGCGUAGAUAUGUGGAGGAACACCGAUGGCGAAGGCAGCCCCCUGGGUCAAAACUGACGCUCAUGCACGAAAGCGUGGGGAGCAAACAGG